rnacentral:tRNA from 1 species
AUUUAUGUAGUGUAACACCAACACAUUACUUUUUCAUAGUAAAAAAAGAAAUUUUUCUCUUAAGUA